CCUACGGGAGGCAGCAGUGGGGAAUAUUGCGCAAUGGGGGAAACCCUGACGCAGCAACGCCGCGUGAGUGAGGAAGGACUUCGGUCUGUAAAGCUCUGUUAAUGUGGAAAAAUGGUAGUUGGUCUAAUAGGCCGAUUAUUUGAUGGUACACAUAGAGGAAGCACCGGCUAACUUCGUGCCAGCAGCCGCGGUAAUACGAAGGGUGCAAGCGUUGUUCGGAUUUAUUGGGCGUAAAGCGCGCGUAGGCGGACCUGCGAGUCAGAUGUGAAAUCUCGGGGCUCAACCUCGAAACUGCGUCUGAAACUACAGGUCUAGAAUCUUGGAGGGGGAAGGGGAAUUUCUCAUGUAGGGGUAAAAUCCGUAGAUAUGAGAAGGAACACCAGAGGCGAAGGCGCCUUCCUGGACAAGUAUUGACGCUGAGGCGCGAAAGCGUGGGGAUCAAACAGGAUUAGAUACCCUGGUAGUCCACGCUGUAAACGAUGAAUACUAGAUAUUGNAGAGUUGUACCCACGCAGUGUCGUAGCGUACGACGUAAGUUAGUUCCGUCCGUCGGAAGGUAACGGUCGGUCGAGAACGUAAACCGUUAACGAAAGGAAGUUAGACGGCGUGAGACGUUGCCGACGGACGACCGACCGAGGGGAGGUUAGGAG
rnacentral:rRNA from 1 species